AAUACUGCAUGACUUUGAUGUGCGCGCGCGCGUCUCAUUCCAAGACUGGAGCGGAGAGGAUGUUGCUAUGGGAAACGAAGCUACAACACGACACGACACCACCUAAAAGACACAACACGACUUCUCUUAAGCUGCCGUUUUGACUGUUUUCAGGAGUGAGAGAAUAACCCCCUGCUACAGAAAAUAUAACACAAGAUUCCUACAUUUCUGAAGGGAACUGAUCACAGAGAUGCAGAAAAGACAGGAGGUCAAAGUUUAACCUAAGUGCCGUGUAGCUGAUGAACAUCUUUAUAUGUAA